AAGACAAAAUGAAUAUAUGUGUGGAGAGUAUCUUCAGCAGAUGUGAUGUUAUAAAAAUCAUGCUCAAUAGGAUUAUGCUGAGUCCC
rnacentral:snoRNA from 1 species